GACGGAGGGGGCAAGCGUUGUCCGGACUCACUGGGCGUAAAGGGCGCGUAGGCGGGAUGGCAAGUCGGUCGUGAAAUCCUUCGGCUCAACCGAAGAACGUCGAUCGAUACUGCUGUUCUUGAGGGUUGCAGAGGAGACUGGAAUUCCCGGUGUAGCGGUGAAAUGUGUAGAGAUCGGGAGGAACACCGGUGGCGAAGGCGGGUCUCUGGGCAAUUCCUGACGCUGAGGCACGAAGGUCAGGGGAGCAAACGGG
rnacentral:rRNA from 1 species